UACGUAGGGUGCGAGCGUUGUCCGGAAUUACUGGGCGUAAAGAGCUCGUAGGUGGUUUGUCGCGUUGUUCGUGAAAACUCACAGCUUAACUGUGGGCGUGCGGGCGAUACGGGCAGACUGGAGUACUGCAGGGGAGACUGGAAUUCCUGGUGUAGCGGUGGAAUGCGCAGAUAUCAGGAGGAACACCGGUGGCGAAGGCGGGUCUCUGGGCAGUAACUGACGCUGAGGAGCGAAAGCGAGGGGAGCGAACAGG
rnacentral:rRNA from 1 species